UACGUAGGGGGCAAGCGUUGUCCGGAUUUAUUGGGCGUAAAGAGCGUGUAGGCGGCCAGAUAGGUCAGCUGUGAAAACUCGAGGCUCAACCUCGAGAUGUCGGCUGAAACCAUCUGGCUAGAGUCCGGAAGAGGAGAAUGGAAUUCCCGGUGUAGCGGUGAAAUGCGCAGAUAUCGGGAAGAACACCCGUGGCGAAGGCGGCUAUCUGGACGGUUUCUGACGCUAAGACGCGAAAGCGUGGGGAGCAAACAGG
rnacentral:rRNA from 1 species